rnacentral:lncRNA from 1 species
CAUGUACCCUGGAGCUCAGAGGCCACAGCUCGGCCACCUUGAGGCCCUCCCCUCCUGUCAACGCCCAGCGGUGGGGGUGGGGGCCGUGGCCUGCGCCAGCAGCCCCCUGAGCAGCACAGUGAGUUCACAGAGGGGCCAGCUCUGGGCUGCAGAGGGUGUGGGCAGGUGGCCAGGUGACACACCUGAAGCAGCACACACUCGCACCCUGGCCUGAGCCCACCAGCUCUCCUGCCAGGGGACAUGGAAGGGGCACAUUCGCACCUGCAGGCACCCAGGAGGAUAAAGAGCCUCUUUCCCUACACGAAAUCUCCAAGUACAGCUCUCAUGCCGUGCUUCCAAGACUGUGGGAGCAACCGACGAGGCCCAGCCCACAGCCCCACCUGACAAGACUGCCCCUCGACCUGGAUCACUCCUCACUCUGGCCACACCUGCCCAGGGCAGGGGGAGGGGCCGCUUGAGUCAAACCCGGAAUGAGCAGGGCAACUCCAGAACCCUCUCCCAUCAGCUGGCAUUGGGUAUGACACGGGACAUCGCAGGUCUACCUGGUCCCCACCAGAACGAGAGGGAGCUGGCUGAAGCCUGCAGCUGCGCACCCUCUGCAGAAUGGAAGGUCGUCCCCGGGCCUUCGCGAGCUCCUGGCAGGCCCUGGACAGACCUCAGGAGCUCAAGGCGCUGUGACUCAGAGCCGGCAGGGGAAACGCCGCCAAGCCCGCAGGCGCCCAGGGCCAGGACCGCGCCGCGC